rnacentral:rRNA from 1 species
UACGUAGGGUGCGAGCGUUAAUCGGAAUUACUGGGCGUAAAGCGUGCGCAGGCGGUAAGUUAAGUCUGAUGUGAAAGCCCCGGGCUUAACCUGGGAAUGGCCGUCGAAACUGGCGAACUGGAGUGUGGCAGAGGGGGGUGGAAUUCCGCGUGUAGCAGUGAAAUGCGUAGAGAUGCGGAGGAACACCGAUGGCGAAGGCAGCCCCCUGGGCUGACACUGACGCUCAGGCACGAAAGCGUGGGGAGCAAACAGG